AGUGAACGCUGGCGGUAGGCCUAACACAUGCAAGUCGAACGGCAGCACAGUAAGAGCUUGCUCUUACGGGUGGCGAGUGGCGGACGGGUGAGGAAUACAUCGGAAUCUACUUUUUCGUGGGGGAUAACGUAGGGAAACUUACGCUAAUACCGCAUACGACCUACGGGUGAAAGCAGGGGAUCUUCGGACCUUGCGCGAUUGAAUGAGCCGAUGUCGGAUUAGCUAGUUGGCGGGGUAAAGGCCCACCAAGGCGACUAUCCGUAGCUGGUCUGAGAGGAUGAUCAGACACACUGGAACUGAGACACGGUCCAGACUCCUAAGGGAGGCAGCAGUGGGGAAUAUUGGACAAUGGGCGCAAGCCUGAUCCAGCCAUACCGCGUGGGUGAAGAAGGCCUUCGGGUUGUAAAGCCCUUUUGUUGGGAAAGAAAAGCAGCAGGUUAAUACCCCGCUGUUCUGACGGUACCCAAAGAAUAAGCACCGGCUAACUUCGUG
rnacentral:rRNA from 1 species